UACGGAGGGGGCUAGCGUUGUUCGGAAUUACUGGGCGUAAAGCGCACGUAGGCGGCGAUUUAAGUCAGGGGUGAAAGCCCGGGGCUCAACCCCGGAAUUGCCUUUGAGACUGGAUUGCUAGAAUCUUGGAGAGGCGAGUGGAAUUCCGAGUGUAGAGGUGAAAUUCGUAGAUAUUCGGAAGAACACCAGUGGCGAAGGCGGCUCGCUGGACAAGUAUUGACGCUGAGGUGCGAAAGCGUGGGGAGCAAACAGG
rnacentral:rRNA from 1 species